CCCGCUGAACUUAAGCAUAUCAAUAAGCGGAGGAAAAGAAACUAACAAGGAUUCCCCUAGUAACUGCGAGUGAAGCGGGAAAAGCUCAAAUUUAAAAUCUGGUGGCCUUUGGCCAUCCGAGUUGUAAUUUAGAGAAGCGUCUUCCGCGCUGGACCGUGCACAAGUCUCCUGGAAUGGAGCGUCGUAGAGGGUGAGAAUCCCGUCUUUGGCACGGACGCCCAGUGCUUCUGUGAUGCGCUCUCGAAGAGUCGAGUUGUUUGGGAAUGCAGCUCAAAAUGGGUGGUGAACUCCAUCUAAAGCUAAAUAUUGGCGAGAGACCGAUAGCGAACAAGUACCGUGAGGGAAAGAUGAAAAGCACUUUGGAAAGAGAGUGAAACAGUACGUGAAAUUGUUGAAAGGGAAACGCUUGAAGUCAGUCGCGUCGUCCGAGACUCAGCCUCGCCUCGGCUUGGUGUACUUCUCGGACGACGGGUCAGCAUCAAUUUUGCCCCUUGGAUAAUGGCGAGGGAAAUGUGACACCUUUGCGGGUGUGUUAUAGUCUCUAGUCGCAUGCAAGGGUCGGGAUUGAGGAACUCAGCACGCGCCUUCGGGCGUCGGGGUUCGCCCACGAUACGUGCUUAGGAUGCUGGCAUAAUGGCUUUAAUCGACCCGUCUUGAAACACGG
rnacentral:rRNA from 1 species